rnacentral:rRNA from 1 species
AGCUCCAAUAACGUAUAUUAAAGUUGUUGCAGUUAAAAAGCUCGUAGUUGGAUUUUUAGUGGGAGGGAUUGGUCCAACACUCUGUGUGGGAAUUUGUAUCCUCUCUGGACAUCCUUGUGUGGAUCUUUUCUGGCAUUAAGUUUUUAGUCAGGGUAUGCCCAUCGUUUAUUGUGAAAAAAUUAGAGUGCUCAAAGCAGACUUAUGCCAUUGCAUAUAUUAACAUGGAAUAAUAAGAUAUGGCUCUGUUACUGUUUUGUUGUUUUGCAUACUAAGGUAAUGAUUGAUAGGGACAGUUGGGGAUAUUUUAAUUCAGUAUUCAGUGGUGAAAUACUUAGACCUACGGAAGAAAAACUACUGCAAAAGCAUUUACCAAGGAUGUUUUCA